rnacentral:rRNA from 1 species
UGGCGAACGGGUGAGUAAUACAUAAGCAACCUACCCACGAAGACUGGGAUAAUCUCUGGAAACGGGGACUAAUACCGGAUAGGUAAUCGGAAGGCAUCUUCUGAUUAUUAAAGGUUAAAAACACUGGUGGAUGGGCUUAUGGCGCAUUAGUUAGUUGGUGAGGUAACGGCCCACCAAGACGAUGAUGCGUAGCCGCCUGAGAGGGUGACGGCCACAUUGGGACUGAGACACGGCCCAG